rnacentral:misc_RNA from 1 species
AAGUCGUAACAAGGUCUCUGUAGGUGAACCUGCGGAGGGAUCAUUACCAAAGAUGGCGUGCCUCCGGGCCCCGUCCCACCCACUUUGUUGACCAAAAACCUUUUGCCUCGGGGCAGAGCGUCCGCCGCCGCCCCGCAGGAUGCACCGAACCGACGCUGUCUCUUUACGUCAGAGUAUUGAUUAAAUGAAUCAAAA